rnacentral:rRNA from 1 species
CCUACGGGUGGCAGCAGUGGGGAAUAUUGCACAAUGGGGGGAACCCUGAUGCAGCGACGCCGCGUGAGUGAAUAAGUCUUUCUGUACGUUAAACUCUAUCAGCAGGGGAGCAAAAAGGACGGUACCUGCGUCAGCAGCCCCGGCUAACUACCUGCCAGCAGCCGCGGUAAUACGUAGGGGGCAGUCGUUCUCCGGCAUUACUGGGUGUCAAGGGAGCGUGGACGGAAAUGUAAGUCCGGAGUGGAAUGCGGCAGCUCAACUGCCGAACGGCUGUGGAAACUGGCUGGCUUGAGUGCGGGAGGGGUAAGCGGAAUUCCUGGUGUAGCGGUGAAAUGCGUAGAUAUCAGGAGGAACACCGGUGGCGAAGGCGGCUUACUGGACUGUAACUGACGUUGAGGCUCGAAAGCGUGGGGAGCAAACAGGAUUAGAUACCCCUGUAGUC